CAUGAAGCUGGAAUCGCUAGUAAUCGCAAAUCAGAAUGUUGCGGUGAAUACGUUCCCGGGUCUUGUACACACCGCCCGUCACACCAUGGGAGUCGGAUAUGCCCGAAGCCAGUGACCUAACCGCAGGGAAGGAGCUGUCGAAGGUGGAGCCGAUAACUGGGGUGAAGUCGUAACAAGGUAAC
rnacentral:rRNA from 1 species